rnacentral:rRNA from 1 species
GACGUAGGGCGCGAGCGUUGUCCGGAAUUAUUGGGCGUAAAGAGCUCGUAGGCGGCUUGUUGCGUCGACCGUGAAAACCCGGGGCUCAACUUCGGGCUUGCGGUCGAUACGGGCGGGCUAGAGUUCGGUAGGGGAGACUGGAAUUCCUGGUGUAGCGGUGAAAUGCGCAGAUAUCAGGAGGAACACCGGUGGCGAAGGCGGGUCUCUGGGCAUCUCCUGACGCUGAGGCGCGAAAGCGUGGGGAGCAAACGGG